rnacentral:rRNA from 1 species
GACGAACGCUGGCGGCGUGCCUAAUACAUGCAAGUAGAGCGGAGCGGCGGACGGGUGAGUAAUGCCUAGGAAUAUGCCUGGUAGUGGGGGAUAACGUCGGGAAACGGGCGCUAAUACCGCAUACUAUCAGAUCAGUCUAGGUCGGAUUAGCUAGUUGGUGGGGUAAAGGCCUACCAAGGCGAAGAUCCGUAACUGGUCUGAGAGGAUGAUCAGUCACACUGGAACUGAGACACGGUCCAGCCUCCUACGGGAGGCAGCAGUGGGGAAUAUUGGCCAAUGGGCGAAAGCCUGAUCCAGCCAUGCCGCGUGUGUGAAGAAGGUCUUCGGAUUGUAAAGCACUUUAAGUUGGGAGGCGUUACCAACAGAGUAAGCACCGGCUAACUUCGUGCCAGCAGCCGCGGUAAUAC